rnacentral:rRNA from 1 species
AACGAACGCUGGCGGCAGGCUUAGCACAUGCAAGUCGAACGCCCCGCAAGGGGAGUGGCAGACGGGUGAGUAACGCGUGGGAAUCUACCGUACCCUACGGAACAACAGUUGGAAACGACUGCUAAUACCGUAUACGCCCUACGGGGGAAAGAUUUAUCGGGGUAUGAUGAGCCCGCGUUGGAUUAGCUAGUUGGUGGGGUAAAGGCCUACCAAGGCGACGAUCCAUAGCUGGUCUGAGAGGAUGAUCAGCCACAUUGGGACUGAGACACGGCCCAAACUCCUACGGGAGGCAGCAGUGGGGAAUAUUGGACAAUGGGCGCAAGCCUGAUCCAGCCAUGCCGCGUGAGUGAUGAAGGUCUUAGGAUUGUGAAGCUCUUUCACCGAUGAAGAUAAUGACGGUAGUCGGAGAAGAAGCCCCGGCUAACUUCGUGCCAGCAGCCGCCGUAA